UUCAGAGCCCUCCUACAAUGUGA
rnacentral:miRNA from 1 species